rnacentral:rRNA from 1 species
CUACGGGGGGCUGCAGUGGGGAAUAUUGGACAAUGGGGGCAACCCUGAUCCAGCCAUGCCGCGUGUGUGAAGAAGGCCCUCGGGUUGUAAAGCACUUUCAGUGAGGCAGAACGCCUGGUGGUUAAUACCCAUCAGGAAAGACAUCACUCACAGAAGAAGCACCGGCUAACUCCGUGCCAGCAGCCGCGGUAAUACGGAGGGUGCGAGCGUUAAUCGGAAUUACUGGGCGUAAAGCGCGCGUAGGUGGCUUGAUAAGCCGGUUGUGAAAGCCCCGGGCUCAACCUGGGAACGGCAUCCGGAACUGUCAAGCUAGAGUGCAGGAGAGGAAGGUAGAAUUCCCGGUGUAGCGGUGAAAUGCGUAGAGAUCGGGAGGAAUACCAGUGGCGAAGGCGGCCUUCUGGACUGACACUGACACUGAGGUGCGAAAGCGUGGGUAGCAAACAGGAUUAGAUACCCCUGUAGUC